GGGGGUGUCUGUUUCGACAAAACCCUGUUCUUUAAAAACCGCAAGCCGGGAAUGGCUUAAUCCCGUUAAACAAAGCCGAAAAACAACAGUCAACAAAAUCGUUGACGGCGUGGUUUCUCUCAAAAACGGACUGGUAGCAAUGCUUGGUCUAAAUGACAGAGAUUACGCUCCCGCUUAUGCUUUUGCUUAAAAAGCGAGCAUAAAUGGCGUUCUGUGGUUGCUUGUCCGAUGGAAACCAUAAGAGCGAAAACAAAGUCGGACUGCGAGAACCGAAACUCGACGACUUUCGGUUUUCAAAGAUUUCUCGUCUUUGGCGGUUUGGAAUUUGUAAAUUUACAAGAAUCGCCAAGAAUUUAAAUUUACUAAGCUUGUAGCGGUUUUAAAGAGCGGUUUUUGGACCCCGGUUCAAUCCGGGCACCUCCACCC
rnacentral:tmRNA from 1 species